rnacentral:tRNA from 1 species
GCCCUCUUGGCUUAGUGGUAAAGCGUAUCACUAGUACCCCAACUGCUCUGAGCAGACCUGGCUUGCAAAUGAUAAGAUCGCUAGUUCGAUUCUGGCAGAGGGCA